GAUGAAGAACGUAGCGAAAUGCGAUAAGUAAUGUGAAUUGCAGAAUUCAGUGAAUCAUCGAAUCUUUGAACGCACAUUGCGCCCCUUGGUAUUCCGAGGGGCAUGCCCGUUCGAGCGUCAUUAUACCCCUCAAGCCUAGCUUGGUGUUGGGGCCUGCUGUUACCGGCAGCCCUUAAAAUCAGUGGCGGUGCCAUCUGGCUCUAAGCGUAGUACAUACUCUCGCUACAGACGUCCGGUGGAUGCUGGCCAGCAACCCCCAAUUUAUCAAGGUUGACCUCGGAUCAGGUAGGGAUACCCGCUGAACUUAAGCAUAUCAAUAAGCGGAGGA
rnacentral:misc_RNA from 1 species